rnacentral:misc_RNA from 1 species
UUACCGUAGGUGAACCUGCGGAAGGAUCAUUAUUGUAUAGCCGAGGUGCGAGGGCUGUCGCUGACCCGAAAGGUCGUGCACGCCCGAGUGCCCUCACACACAUCCAUCUCACCCCUAUGUGCACCACCGCGUGGGUCCCCCUUUGGCUUGUUCGGAGGGGGGCUUACGUUUUCACACAAACUUUGUAUGCAGUGUAGAAUGUAUUUUUUGUUUUUGCGAUCACGCAAUCAAUACAACUUUCAACAACGGAUCUCUUGGCUCUC